AGAGUUUGAUCCUGGCUCAGGAUGAACGCUGGCGGCGUGCCUAAUACAUGCAAGUCGAGCGAACGGACGAGAAGCUUGCUUCUCUGAUGUUAGCGGCGGACGGGUGAGUAACACGUGGAUAACCUACCUAUAAGACUGGGAUAACUUCGGGAAACCGGAGCUAAUACCGGAUAAUAUUUUGAACCGCAUGGUUCAAAAGUAAAAGACGGUCUUGCUGUCACUUAUAGAUGGAUCCGCGCUGCAUUAGCUAGUUGGUAAGGUAACGGCUUACCAAGGCAACGAUGCAUAGCCGACCUGAGAGGGUGAUCGGCCACACUGGAACUGAGACACGGUCCAGACUCCUACGGGAGGCAGCAGUAGGGAAUCUUCCGCAAUGGGCGAAAGCCUGACGGAGCAACGCCGCGUGAGUGAUGAAGGUCUUCGGAUCGUAAAACUCUGUUAUUAGGGAAGAACAUAUGUGUAAGUAACUGUGCACAUCUUGACGGUACCUAAUCAGAAAGCCACGGCUAACUACGUGCCAGCAGCCGCGGUAAUACGUAGGUGGCAAGCGUUAUCCGGAAUUAUUGGGCGUAAAGCGCGCGUAGGCGGUUUUUUAAGUCUGAUGUGAAAGCCCACGGCUCAACCGUGGAGGGUCAUUGGAAACUGGAAAACUUGAGUGCAGAAGAGGAAAGUGGAAUUCCAUGUGUAGCGGUGAAAUGCGCAGAGAUAUGGAGGAACACCAGUGGCGAAGGCGACUUUCUGGUCUGUAACUGACGCUGAUGUGCGAAAGCGUGGGGAUCAAACAGGAUUAGAUACCCUGGUAGUCCACGCCGUAAACGAUGAGUGCUAAGUGUUAGGGGGUUUCCGCCCCUUAGUGCUGCAGCUAACGCAUUAAGCACUCCGCCUGGGGAGUACGACCGCAAGGUUGAAACUCAAAGGAAUUGACGGGGACCCGCACAAGCGGUGGAGCAUGUGGUUUAAUUCGAAGCAACGCGAAGAACCUUACCAAAUCUUGACAUCCUUUGACAACUCUAGAGAUAGAGCCUUCCCCUUCGGGGGACAAAGUGACAGGUGGUGCAUGGUUGUCGUCAGCUCGUGUCGUGAGAUGUUGGGUUAAGUCCCGCAACGAGCGCAACCCUUAAGCUUAGUUGCCAUCAUUAAGUUGGGCACUCUAAGUUGACUGCCGGUGACAAACCGGAGGAAGGUGGGGAUGACGUCAAAUCAUCAUGCCCCUUAUGAUUUGGGCUACACACAUGCUACAAUGGACAAUACAAAGGGCAGCGAAACCGCGAGGUCAAGCAAAUCCCAUAAAGUUGUUCUCAGUUCGGAUUGUAGUCUGCAACUCGACU
rnacentral:rRNA from 1 species